rnacentral:lncRNA from 1 species
UUUUUUUCUUAUAAGAUUUAUACAUAGAUGUUAAAGGAAUUUUAGAAAAAUGGAGAAAUGAGGAAGAAAAAUAACCUAAUUAUAUCCAAAUACAAUUACUGUAAAUAUUAUCAUUUACAACCGACCUUCCCUAUUAGCAGAUUGUGAAGUUACAAAUGCACCAUUCCCCAACAUUUACUUGGAACUCCAAAAUCAGUACUGGUGGACACACACACAGUGCUGACAGUUUUGAGCGGGCCAUCAGAGCUGCACGGGUUUCCUGCUGAGGUGGAGCUAAGCCAUACUCUUGUUUCAGCAGCUGUCGUGCUGAGGUGACCAGACGAUGGAGCCAGUAGGGGGCAGUGUAGUGCAGCGAAAGACACUCCGGCUCUUUUAAGAUUCCUCGGGACGCGGUUUGAAUCUCAACUCUGACUCCUGUGACUGGGAUGGUCUCAGGGAAGUCACUUAACACCUCUGAACCUCAUUUUUUUCUACCAAGGUGACAUUUUUAGUACUUAAGAUUAUGAUCUAUGUGCGAUAUGUACACAUAAAUACACAUUUACCCUAGGAACAAUGUUUCAGCAUUCACCAAGCCAGUGUCUUCAGACUUUAGAGAACAUAAUUACCAUUUGAAAAUUGCACUUUCUUCCAGAAUUUUUAAUAUGCUUUAGGUUUUUUCGCAAUGUUGCUGUUGAGAUUUGUAUGAUGUAUUUCUUACCCAAAAGUCAGCCUCUCCCAUUCCUGAUCACCAACUGGCUGCCCAGUUCACCUGGGGAGCAUUUACAAAAUACUGAUGCCCAGAUCCUGUCCCCAAAGAUUCAGAUUUGAUUGUUACGAGGCCGGGCCCAGGUCUCAGUAGCCUUUAAAAAUAAGCUCCCAGGUGGUUCCAGUGAACAACCUGGAGUGGAACCCCUGUUUAAUUUCUUUGGAGAAGAAGCUAACGGUCUCAGUGCACUUUGCAGCCACCUGUUCGGCAGGCCCCCCCCCCCCCCCCCCCCCCCCCCCGNUGUGGAGUACUACUCCCUGACCCCAGCUCUAUUCUGGCCACGGCUCUUUCCCCUACCCACUAGGGCCUGAAACGCAGACCUACAGUUCUUCCCGGACAAGGCUGCUAUUGGUGCCAAUGAACUCAUUGGAGGGGUCAGAUGGAAAGGGUGCCACGGUGCCUUUACUGAUCUGCCCCUUAAUCUCCCUUCCACCAUACCGCACAGGCUGGAAGAGAAUAACAGGCUUUCUAGAAGGUUGGAGGUAAUGGACGGGAACUGCAGGGCAAAGGAAAAGGCAAACCAGGCACCAGAGGUGACUGCUCCAAUAGUCCAAGGAAAAAGGGCCAUUACUGCCGCAUGAGUCUGUGUGCCGACCCAGAGCCCUGCCUCCCACCUCCUUUCUCUCUUAGGUAGUCCUGGGGACACACCCUGAGCAGAACAUCUCCCAGAGUCUGGGUUCUCAGACUAGAAUAACAGUCCGUGGAAAGGAGUAAGGUAAAGAUAUGAAUCUUUCAUAGCAUCAAAUGCACACACAUUUGUGCAUUUGUGGCGCAGUGGUUAACAAAUCUGACUAGGAACCAUGAGAUUGCAGGUUAGAUUCCUGGCCUUGCUCAGUGGGUUAAGGAUCUGACGUUGCAGUGGACUGUGGUGGUCACAGACAUCGCUUAGAUCCUGUGUUGCUGUGGCUAUGGAGUACAGCAACAGCUCCAAUUUGACCCCCUAGCCUGGGAACUGCCAAAUGCCAUGGGUGGGACCCUAAAAAACAAAAAAUAAAAUAAAAUGGUAUAAUUAUUGCUGAAAAAUAUUUCAUUGACUGGGUAUACAUGGGGCUACUUAACUAUGCAGAUGUAUAUUAAGUUUGUUUCCAAUUUUUAUCUUAAAUAAUGCUGCAUUAAACAUCUCUAUAUUCAAUGCCCCUUGUUUAGGACUACUAUUGAAGAUGGAUGCUGAGAAAUAGAACUGCCAAGUCUCAAGACAGUUCUAUUGGUUAAAUUAUUGAUAAAUACUGGCAACACUUUUCCAAAAGAGCAUGUACAAACUUGCAUCUUCACCAGGAGACCAGAUGGGAAUGAUUUUCAAAUGAGAAAUGACAUGACUACCAUACGACCCAGCAAUCCCACUCUUAGGCAUAUAUCCAGACAAAACUUUCCUUGAAAAAGACACGUGCACCAGCCAAGACAUGGAAACAACCUAAAUGUCCAUCCACAGAUGAUUGGAUUAAAAGAUGUGGUAUAUAUACACAAUGGGAUACUACUCAGAUGCAAAAAAGAACAAAAUAAUGCCAUCUGCAGCAAUAUGGAUGGAACUAGAGACUCUCAUACUAAGUGAAAAGUCAGAGAGAAAGACAAAUACCAUAUGAUAUCAUUUAUAUCUGGAAUCUAAUAUAUGGCACAAAUGAACCUUUCCACAGAAAAGAAAACCAUGGACAUGGAGAACGGACUUGUGGUUGCCAAGAGGGAGGGGGAGAGGGAGGAAGUGAGGGGGCUGGGAAU